rnacentral:snRNA from 12 species
AGCUUUGCGCAGAGGCGAUAUCGUGACCAAUGAAGUUUUACUGAGGUGCGAUUAUUGCUGGUUGAAAACUUUAACCAAUACUCCGCUGUAUUGGACGUAUUUUACGUUCUCUACAGCAAUUUUUGGAAACCCGUAAGGGU